UACGGGGGGGGCAAGCGUUGUUCGGAAUUACUGGACGUAAAGGGCUCGUAGGCGGCCAACUAAGUCGGACGUGAAAUCCCCAGGCUCAACCUGGGAACUGCGUCCGAUACUGGAUGGCUUGAAUCCGGGAGAGGGAUGCGGAAUUCCAGGUGUAGCGGUGAAAUGCGUAGAUAUCUGGAGGAAUACCGAUGGCGAAGGCAGCCUCCUGGGCCAACACUGACGCUCAUGCACGAAAGCGUGGGGAGCAAACAGG
rnacentral:rRNA from 1 species